rnacentral:lncRNA from 1 species
AUACAUUUCACAAAUAAACUUGGAAUUAGCAACGUGUGUAUUUGGUUAAAUGGAACUCACCUCCAAAUAAUGGAAUAUGCCGAUCUCAAGUUCAAGUCGUGCCUCUCAACUUAUUUAAAUAAAUAAAAAAAGGGUUGAAAUUCAUGAUUCAUAAUUGUUUUAUAAUGACUAUAAGAAAAUAGAAGAAUAUAGAGGCUUUAAGACCAGGGGUGUGCAGCUAGAAAGUUGAUGUAACUGUGAAAAUUCCCUGCCCCACAUGAUCUUUCACCGAAGGCUACAAGACAGAAACCAGACUAGAGAUUAGAGUGCAAGACCAAACAUUCAGAACAGAAGCCCUGGAAGCUAUGGUCAUGAUCACAAGUAUAUGCAUCGUAUCUUAUCCGGAUAAUUCAAGCCACACAUCUUCUAUCUCUUGGAGCUUAUAUGGUUUGCUUGCUAUUUCACGUAAUCACAGUAUUUAAUUUGUCCAAUCCAUAGACUACAAUAGAUACACCCAGUACUCUAAAGUCUACCCUGUAGGUAUCUACUCCUUACAUCCCUGUAAGCUUAUAGCUGGGAAACUAGAUCACUGAAGAUCCUUGUGUUUGCCAGAAGCAGAUUCAGGCAUCAGUAGUAUUAUGUUUUUGGCCAAUUGCUCUCUUUCAAAGAUUCUCAAGAAAAGUGGUUUGCACUUCGCCUGCUUAAUUAUGCAAUCUCUUCAUUUGCGACCCGUAAGCAAGAGCUCCAGCGUUAGCAAUCACAUGUUCUCUAAAGGCUAGCUCGAUCUGUGUGACUGUGGAGACGUCUUACACUCACAAAACCUUUAUCACCACCUUAUUAACACCUUUCCAAAUGCGAGGUUCAAAUUUGGAAAUCAAAACGUGCUCCACGGGACUUGAAAAGAAAAGAAAAGAAAAUAUUCCGUGGGAUUUUCUUUCAUGCAGGUCGAUUAGGAGUUCAAACAUAAUAUAUAGAGAUUCCCUUGACAGUGUCUAUAAGAAAUAAUAGCUGCCAUAGAAACUCGUGGCAAGUAUAUAUAUAUAUAUAUAUAUAUAUAUAUAUAUAUAUAUAUAUAUAUAUAUAUAUAUAUAAUAAACCUGCUGGACAUCCGGUACGUUCAAUGCCAUUUGCUGACCUUUUCAAUGCCUUGUAAGAGAUAUGGAAGAAUUUAUCCCUCGUAAAUAAUAGCUUAUAGCGCAUGGUCUUUAGAAAAUAUAAAACAUAAUAUUACAUGGCUAUCAACUAAAACGAACAGCCUAAUACGACAAAGCAUGGGGAAGUAGCUAGAAAUCUAAUUUCCGUACUCUUUGGUUCAGAAAGAAAUUUCUGGUUCUUUGCUGUGAAACAAGACAGGACAGCUCCACUUGCAAAAUGUCGAGAGGCAACUUGCUUGGUAGGCAAAUGAGGUCCUCAGUAUCUGGCCAAGAUAUUAUUAUCUCAAGCUGAUCAUAUACCUCACAUAACGAUGGGCUCUCUCUCUCUCUCUCUCUCUCUCUCUCUCUCUCUCUCUCUUAUUUUUAACUUUCUACUUUCCAGUAAGAAAUUCAUUUAAUUUUGGUGCAAGUGGAAGCAUCGAGUUAUAAAUUGUGUACUGUGGUAGAAAAAGAAAAAGAAAAAAGAAAACAUGAACUGAUUAGGCAUAUAAGAACUAUCAGGAACAAGAUCUUUUUAGAUUUUAAAAUGGUCCAGUUAAAUGAACAUUGACAGAAAAACCAACUUGAAUGGUUUACAUACCAACCCAUCAAUAACUCACCAAACAGCUGGAUG